rnacentral:rRNA from 1 species
CAGCCGCCGCGGUAAUACGAAGGGUGCAAGCGUUACUCGGAAUUACUGGGCGUAAAGCGUGCGUAGGUGGUGGUUUAAGUCCGUUGUGAAAGCCCUGGGCUCAACCUGGGAAUUGCAGUGGAUACUGGAUCACUAGAGUGUGGUAGAGGAUAGUGGAAUUUCCGGUGUAGCAGUGAAAUGCGUAGAGAUCGGAAGGAACAUCUGUGGCGAAGGCGACUAUCUGGGCCAACACUGACACUGAGGCACGAAAGCGUGGGGAGCAAACAGGAUUAGAUACCCCCGUAGUCCCUGUCUCUUAUAA